UAAAUCAGUUAUCGUUUAUUUGAUAGUACCUUACUACUUGGAUAACCGUGGUAAUUCUAGAGCUAAUACAUGCUAAAAACCCCAACUUCGGGAGGGGUGUAUUUAUUAGAUAAAAAACCAAUGCCCUUCGGGGCUCUUUGGUGAUUCAUGAUAACUUAACGGAUCGCAUGGCCUUGCGCCGGCGACGGUUCAUUCAAAUUUCUGCCCUAUCAACUUUCGAUGGUAAGGUAUUGGCUUACCAUGGUUUCAACGGGUAACGGGGAAUUAGGGUUCGAUUCCGGAGAGGGGGCCUGAGAGAUGGCCACCACAUCCAAGGAAGGCAGCAGGCGCGCAAAUUACCCAAUCCCGACACGGGGAGGUAGUGACAAUAAAUACUGAUACAGGGCUCUUUUGGGUCUUGUAAUCGGAAUGAGUACAAUUUAAACCCCUUAACGAGGAACAAUUGGAGGGCAAGUCUGGUGCCAGCAGCCGCGGUAAUUCCAGCUCCAAUAGCGUAUAUUAAAGUUGUUGCAGUUAAAAAGCUCGUAGUUGAACCUUGGGCCUGGCUGGCCGGUCCGCCUCACCGCGUGUACUGGUCCGGCCGGGCCUUUCCUUCUGGAGAGCCGCAUGCCCUUCACUGGGUGUGUCGGGGAACCAGGACUUUUACUUUGAAAAAAUUAGAGUGUUCAAAGCAGGCCUUUGCUCGAAUACGUUAGCAUGGAAUAAUAGAAUAGGACGUGCGGUCCUAUUUUGUUGGUUUCUAGGACCGCCGUAAUGAUUAAUAGGGAUAGUCGGGGGCAUCAGUAUUCAAUUGUCAGAGGUGAAAUUCUUGGAUUUAUUGAAGACUAACUACUGCGAAAGCAUUUGCCAAGGAUGUUUUCAUUAAUCAGUGAACGAAAGUUAGGGGAUCGAAGACGAUCAGAUACCGUCGUAGUCUUAACCGUAAACUAUGCCGACUAGGGAUCGGGCGAUGUUUCUAUCUUGACUCGCU
rnacentral:rRNA from 1 species